rnacentral:lncRNA from 1 species
UACAGAGAAAAAUGGCUUAUAAUAAUAUCUACCUUGGAGUUAAACUAUAAGUCUGAGAAAUUUUUUGCCUUUGGUAGACUUAAAAAGAUAAUAAUCCAGCAAAGUAUGGUAAAUAAAUCAGCAACUACGUGAAGGUAAGAGAUGUUUUAUUUUACACCUGGAUUUUAAAAAAUUAUUUUCUUUUCUUCUUUUUCUUAUUUUAUUGCCACCAUUCUACUACUAAUUUAUCACUAUGAUUACUACCUCUGGCAUGUCCAUUGUUGGAAUAUGUUUGUGUUCACACACACACAUUUUGGGUGGGUUUGCAAACUGUACAUCUUCAUGUGGAUGCAAGCAUAGUCUAUGGUCACACAGUAAAGGAGUUCUCUUUGCAACAACAUGGCUCUAGGAACAAUUUCACUACGGGGCACCUUUCUCCAAUUUCUUCUUACCUAUCUCUCCGCUCACCUGUAUUUUGUGGGUAGUAUUUGGUUGUUGGAAACUGUAUCAGAAGCCUGUUGUGUAUAUGUGUUUGUAUGCAAAUGCAAGAAAAUCUACAGAGUGGCACUUUACAAACAGAAGCCCACGAGGUAAUUGUUCUGCAUCUCUCCUCUUACUUACUUGUACUUGUGACGGUGUUCACCCAGGGCAGGUUGAGCCGGCUUCUUCUCUGGUCCUGACAGCAUCAUGAACCAUGGUGGUCCACGCUCGACGGUCCCAUGCGAGGUCACUGGAGAUAGCGAGCCAUUUGCAGUUCCAUCUGCGUAGACCAACCACCUGCAGACCUGAGAGUUCGGAGAGGUCCUCCUUUAUCAUCGUUGCCCGGGUCUUCAGCUGCCUACCUGUGCGUUUGCGCUAGUUGGGAAGUGGAGGUGGGGGAGGCGGAACAUUGCGAACCAGCUCACCCUCUGGACGCUGGGCUGCAUGACCGAACCACCUUAAGUGCCGUUGUAGAAGCACUGAAGUAGGGGCUGAAGAUGCAUCUCUCCACAUCUGAGGCUCGGUUGUUUCAUCUAUCCAUUCCUAGCCAUACUAGUUAUUGUUGCAUAUCCAGUGGAUCAUGCUCAUCUCAUUCUUCUUCUUGGUUCUAUCUAGUCUUUUGUAUUUAUAACCACAUCUCACUAUCAUGCGACACUAUUACAUCUGUCGGUUUUUUAAUCCAAGUUAUAUUCACAGGCAUGGCUGUGUGGUAAGGAAUUUGCUUCCCAAUAACAUGGCUCUGGGUUCAGUCCCACUGUGUAGCACUUUGGGCAAGUGUCUUCUACCAUAGCCUUGAGCCAACUAAGUCUUUGGUAAGUGGAUAUGGUAGUUGGCUGCAUCACAGAUUUCUAAAAAUCUGCAUUAAUUCAUACACAUACAAAAUAAAUGGACCAGAUUAGAAAAUAUUCAUGGUUAUGACACCACUCCUCUUUUUUUUUUUUUGCCUGAAACAGCUGUAAAGAUAAGAUUUGAUUACAUCAUUCAUUUAUUUAUUUGUACAUGCAACUUUCAUUGUAAACAGAUUCCUUAUGGCUACUUUUAUGUGCCCUUUUCACAUAUAUAUAUGUAUGUGUGUGUGUAUAUAUAUAUAUAUAUAUAUAUAUAUAAAUACACACACACACACACACACACACACAUAUAUAUAUAUAUAUAUAUAUAUAUAUAUAUAUAUAUAUAUAUAUAUAAAGUUCAUAUUUGCAGACAAACAAAAGAUGAAGACAAGUGUAGGAACAACAAGCAGGUGUAUGAGUUUAAUAUAUGUAAAUUUAUAUCACAGACUCCUCAGUAUGUCCACGUUUCUGCGGCUAAUAGGUAUUUAUAUUUUUUUAGGUUUUAAUUAUUUCUGUGGGAGCUUUUCGAAUGUAACACCCACGAUAGUCAAGGAACUACUGUAUAUAUAUAUGAAGGAAUACCAAAAAUGGUACAAGAACGCAAAACAUCCAGACAUGAUACAAAAAAGGGGCAACAAAACAUCCAGACAGACGAUAUAAAAAAACAAGGAUGGGUCAUUUGGAGUUUUCUUUCUUCAGUCGAGUUCCAGAUUAUCUUUGCAAUUUUGGUUGGUUAUACUUGAGAUUGCUUCGAUCUGGCUAGCCCCAAGGAAAAACUAAGCUAAGAGAACUAGAUUCCUUGGAUGAAAGCAGCAAAUGUAUAUGAAAACAAGGAUUGAAAAAAUAGAGAAAUGGUAUGAGGCAGUGCUGAAAAAUUCCUGGUUUGAGUAAAAGAAAAUACAAGAGAAUCAGUUAAUUAUGAUUUUAUUCCAACAUUGGCUGUGUGGUAAGUAGCUUGCUUACCAACCACAUGGUUCCGGGUUCAAUCCCACUGUGUGGCACCUUGGGCAAGUGUCUUCUACUACAGCCUCAGGCCGACCAAAGACUUGUGAGUGGAUUUGGUAGACAGAAACUGAAAGAAGCCCGUCGUAUAUAUAUAUAUAUGUGUGUGUGUGUGUGCGUGUACGUUUGUGUGUCUGUGUUUGUCCCCCUAGCAUUGCUUGACAACCGAUGCUGGUGUGUUUAUGUCCCCGUCACUUAGCGGUUCGGCAAAAGAGACCGAUAGAAUAAGUACUGGGCUUACAAAGAAUAAGUCCCGGGGUCGAUCUGCUCGACUAAAGGUGGUGCUCCAGCAUGGCCGCAGUCAACUGACUGAAACAAGUAAAAGAGUAAAGAGUCUCAGAUUCACACACUUACUGCAGUUUUUUCUAAGUCCUGUAAACGAACUCAGAAUGUUGGGCCUUCAACCAAACCUUUCACAAUAACCUUACAGUACCACCUCCUUGUAUAUGUCGCAAACCCCGUAUCAAAGCUCAAACCUUGUAUCCUUCAUUUGUCUCAAUCUGGUGCUUGUGAUAUCUAAUACCAGCUAUAGAGCAAUGUGUUACAAAAUAGAGAAUAUCUUUAAAAAAGCUAAAAUAAAAACUGAUAGAAGAAGUUGAGGGAAAACCUUUUAACAUACUUCCUUUAAAAUAAAGAAUAACCUAUUUAAAUGAGUGUUUGUAAUAUGUUCCAUUACUCUUUGAGAUAAUAUGAGAGUGUUGUGUUACUAUUGGAUUUCUCUGAAAGCCAUGUCUACAGUCUAAAAGAUAACACUUCACAAGACAAAUCAAAUCAGAAAAAUUUCUCUAAAAUAUAAAGUACGUUUUCUUGCAACUGGUACUGUUAAGCAUGUGGAUUUUCCUCUUUUUAACUUUUUUUUAAAGGAAAUUUUAAUUCUAAAGAAUCUAUCUAUCUAUGGCUGUCUGUCUGUCUCUCUCCCUCACUCUCUCUCUCUCUCUGUAUAUAUAUAUAUAUAUAUAUAUAUUGGCGUUAGGAAGGGCAUCCAGCCGUAGAAACACUGCCAGAUUUGACUGGGCCUGAUGAAGCCUUCUGGCUUCACAGACCCCAGUAGAACCAUCCAACCCAUGCUAGCAUGGAAAACGGACGCUAAACAACGAUGAUGAUGAUGAUGAUGAUAUAUAUAUAUAUAUAUAUAUAAGAGGGAUGACAUGUUAUUGGACAUCCAUUAUGCUAGAAGAAGAUCCUCUAUGGUCUUAGCACUAAGAAAGGAAUGUUCUCAAGAAAAUUUAGCAAACACCAGAGCGUAAACGUAAGACCAUAGCUGAUCUUCUUCUAGCAUAAUGGAUGUCCUCUUACAGGUCAUCCUUCUUAUAUGUAUGUAAUAUAAUUUUUUCUGAAACUUCAGAUUUUUAAAUAUGCUAGACCACUGGUUUUAAAUUGAUAUUAAUCAAAUUCAUAAUUCAAUUUUUCACCCUUAUUAUUUUAAAUUAUAUAUAUAUAUAUAUAUUGUUGUAUUUUGGAAUGGUCAUUUUGCCAGUUUAGCCAAUAAAAACACACGCACUAUAUAUUUGGUGUUACUUUGCUUCAGUGUUAUUUAUUUUUUACAUUAAUCUUAAUCUUAUUUCGGCCAGAGUUCUUUCGAGACACUCCUGGCUAAACUGGCAAAAUGACCAUUCCGAAAUACAACAAUGUCUGUUUCAACACACGACUUCACAUAAAAAAUCUUGCACAACAAAUAUAUAUAUAUAUAUAUAUAUAUAUAUAUAUAUAUAUGGUGGUUGUCUACUCCUUAUGCAGAGUCUGACCACCUCCUGUACCUACACCAUAGAUCCAUCAUGGCAUCUGAGGUGGAUUUUUAAACAAGACAAUGAUUUGAAAAGGUCGCACAUCGAUUGCAUGUCUGAUUUGCACCACUAAGAGCUGCAGUUAAAUUCUGAUCUUUGUGGAUCUUAAACUGUCUUUUGAGGCCUCUGUUUGUUUUUGAAAGUAGUGGUUUUCUGAUUGCAGUCUUCCGUGAAAUGCGACGUUGUACAGCUCCCAGCAAACAGUUUUUGUGGAAACUGGGUUCUCGAGGUAGUCAUCUAGCUCUGCAGUAAUUUUGGGAGCUGUACUUUUAUGAUCCUUUCUAACAACUUGCAUAAGACUCCGACGGCCCCUAUCUCAAAGUUUUGGUUUUUUUCUGAAAUUUUGUUUCGACCAGGAGCUUAUUUCCUCUUUCUCAAAGACUGUCAUUACUUUCAAGACAGAACCUCUUGAUACACCAAACAUUUUGGCUGUUGUCGUUAUGCUAGCACCUGCCUUAUGAGUACCAACGAUUUGACCUCUUUGAAAGUCCGAUAGAUCUGUCAUUUUAAUGAAUUUUAAUUACCUUUUUCUGAUGAUAUCUGAAAAGAAACAGCAAUUUUAGCAAAACAUAUUAAACAACACUAAUAAUAAAUAAAAAAAAACAUAAAAAUAAACAAGCUUUUGACAGUUUUAUAGAUAUUUCAAAAUUAUGAUGCUAUGAUGCUAAGUGUUUCCAUUAUUUUGACCAACCCGUGUAUUUAUAUAUAAUACUGAAAUGGCUCUCUUACUGCUCAGAGUUUCCGGAGUGUUGCUAAUCAUGUAAUUGAUUUCUGUUUAUUCACAGUAGUUAUAGCAAACUUAAAAGUUAUGGUGGUGGUGGUGGGGGGGGGAUAAGUUAUUGAAGUAAAAACAUUAAAAAAAAAAUCAAAAAAAAAAAAGUUAUGCGUAAGAGAGUUAAAUCAAAAAGCGUAUGGGUGUGUAUGUUCAUGUACAUACUUUGCAAGUGCACGCAUAUAUGCAAGUCCACAAGCAUAUUCACUCAAGUGCAUAUAUAGAGUAUGCUAUUGACAAACAUACAUAUCCGAGACAAACAUUGAUAAUAACGAUUAUUUGUUUCUUGCGGUCUACCUCCUGUAAUUCAAACAAAUUUCGUCAAUCUAUCUGUUUGUCCACAAAGACACACAUAUAUCUUUAUCUACAUGCAUGUAUGAAUUCAUGUGUGCAUAAUAUACAUAUAUAUAUAUAUAUAUAUAUAUAUAUAUAUAUAUAUAUAUAUGCAUAUAUAUAUGCAGUUAUAUAUAUAUAUAUAUAUAUAUAUAUAUAUAUAUAUGCAUAUAUAUAUAUAUGCAUAUAUAUAUAUAUAUAUAUAUACAUAUAUAUGCAGAUAUAUAUAUAUAUAUAUAUACACAGAUAUAUAUAUAUAUAUAUAUAUAUAUAUAUAUAUAUAUAUAUAUACAGAUAUAUAUGCAGAUAUAUAUAUAUAUAUAUAUACAGAUAUAUAUGCAGAUUAUAUAUAUAUAUAUAUAUAUAUAUAUAUAUAUAUACAUAUAUACACAUAUAUAUAUUUAUAUGCAGAUAUAUAUAUGCGCAUAUGUAGAUACAUUUGCACAUACUUUUGUCUUUGUAUUUAGUUGUGAAUUUGUGUGUGUAUGUCUAUGUUUUUAACCAGCUUCCUGUCUAUUAUACUUGUGUAUGUAUACACAUAUAUCCAUAUGUAUUUAAUGAAAAAAAAAGCUAAUGAAACAAUAGUGAAAAAAAUUGCAAUCGAACUAUAUGAUGUAUAAAGAUAAAUAUAUUUAAAAAAAUAUUUAUAUAAUAAUGUGCACAGUGUCUAUAAUGUAUGUAUAAUGUAUGUAUAUAUAUGUAUAUGGUAGAUAUAUUCAGUAAUAAGAGAGAUACAUGUAUUGACUAAAUGAUACACAUAAAAUGUAAAUAAAAUCAAAAAAAUAUAUGUAAUAUGAUAUAGAUCUUUGAAAAAAAAAAAAAUGAUGAAAAGAAAAGGCAAUAAAAUAUAAAAAAUGAAAUUAAUAAAAGAUAUUAUGUUGGCAAAUGUAAAUGAUGAUUUUAUUAGAUUUAAUUUGUAAUUUGUAACAGGUUUCGUGAAAACAUUUCUGUGAAAUGUUGAUGCAAAAAUUUUUCUUGUGAAACAUCGUUUUCUUCUGUUGGUUUUAUGGGGGUCAUCUUUACUUUGUUAUCUCCCCUACUUUCCCUCUCGUGUGUGACCCUUCUGUCCGAGUCAGUCGCCAUGAUAGAUCAUUAGCCACUACACACGCUCCUUGUUUCUCUCCUUGUUUUUUUCUGUGUCCCUUUCUGUAGAAGAGCGUAGGCUCAAAACGUAAAAGACUUUUUCUAUUCCUAAGCGUUAUACUAAUACAUCUGUUUGUUUUGUUCACCACCUGUCUUCGUCUUUUGUUUUUUUGUAAACUCUCCCUAUAUAUAUAUAUAUAUAUUCAUGGUUUUAGCUUGACCACCGCUGGAAUUGCCUCAAGAGGCUCUGAUCUUUGUCUUAGCACUGAAACCAAUUCUGACUAUAUAUAGGAUCCAUUCUUAGGAUGUAUAAUUUCUCUGCUUGGCAGAGUUGAUAUCCAUUAAGACCUGUUGGUGUAUGGGGUGACAUUUCAUUGACAGACCUGUCUAGUUUAAUAUUUUGGGGUUUUUAUGUCUUUAACCCUUGAGUGUUCAGAUUACUUUAUCAAAUUCAAAUUGUUUAGGAUUAAUCAUGUAUUACCUUGUAACUUAUUUAAUCGACACUGAAAGGAUGAAAGGCUAAGUUGACCCCGGCAGAAUUUGAACUCAGAACAUAGUGGCAAACGAAUUACCUAUUUCUUUACUACCCACAAGGGGCUAAACACAGAGAGGACAACCAAGAACAGACAAACGGAUUAAGUCGAUUAUAUCGACCCCAGUGCGUAACUGGUACUUAUUUAAUCAACCCCAAAAGGAUGAAAGGCAAAGUCAAUCUCGGCGGAAUUUGAACUAAGAAUGUAGCGGCAGACGAAAUACCACUAAGCAUUUCACCCGGCAUGCUAACGUUUCUGCCAGCUUGCCGCCUUAAACAUACAUACAUACAUACAUACAUACGGAUGUAUACAUAUCUAUUGACAUCUCAAAUAAAUUAACUGGUGAUGUUGGCAAAUAUUUAAUAGUAAAGUUAAUUAUAUAUUUUAAUGAGAUUUAUGUCUGGUGAUGUUAUAUGAUCCAGUUUAGCUGUGUGGUCAAGAAGCUCACUUUGCAAUGACAUGGUUUCAGGUUCAGUCCUACUGCAUGGCAAGUGUCUUCUAUUAAAACCUCAGGGCAACCAAUGUCUUGUGAAUGAAUUCAGUAGUGGAAACUGUGUAGAAGCCUGUUCUCUGUGUGUGUGUGUUUAGUUCCCUGCUUGGUAGCUGAUGUUGGUUUGUUUAUGUCCCCAUAAUCUAGCAGUUCAACAAAAGCGAUUGAUAAAAUAAGCACCAGACUUGAAAACGAAAAUCCUGGUUUCAAUUUG